UCGGACUCGGUCGUCGUCGUAAGCGGCCGAAAUAAUUCACGAAAUAUUAUAUUGUUGAAAGGCAUGGAGUAUAGCUUACUAAAUUAUUGUGUUCAGUGAAUGCAAACGCGUGUGUGGUUUAAUUGAUAUAAUCGUAAGCGCAGUUAUCGACAAUAAAAUGUCUUUUGUUAACAUAAAGAAGCAAUAUCUAGCAAUGGGAAUGUUAGUUUUCGUCUUACUGUUUUUAUUUAAUAACAAGCCGGCUUUUCAGUGUCAAUUUAGUCCUGAAAUGUCUAGUUAUUUGCCGCCGAUAUACGGAAUUACACCGACAUACGCUCGUCUCGCACAGAAAGCUGAUCUCACAAGGUUAUCACAAACAUUGUCAUUGGUGAAGAAUUUUCACUGGAUCGUCAUCGAGGAUUCAGAGACCAAGACAAAAUUGGUAGAGAAUCUCCUAAAAGAGUCCUCACUCAAAUACACACAUCUCAAUGUGAAAACACAUAAGGCGAAACAUUCCACGGCAAGUGGAGUGGAACAAAGGAAUGCGGCACUGGAAUGGCUUAGAGGUUAUUUAGAAACAGCGGAGGACAAAAAAGGUGUGGUUUACUUCAUGGAUGAUGAUAACACAUACUCUCUGAAAGUAUUUGAAGAGAUGCGGAAAAUCAACAAAGUAGGCGUGUGGCCAGUGGGCAUCGUCGGUGGGAUGCGUGUGGAGAUGCCGCUAGUCACCAACGGCAAAGUGACUGGCUUCAAUGCGGUCUGGAAGCCCUUCAGACCGUUCCCGAUCGACAUGGCCGGGUUUGCUAUCAACGCCACCUUGUUCCUUGAUCAUCCAGACGCGAAGUUCUCGAGGAAGGUGCAGUCUGGAUUCCAGGAGAGCGAAAUAUUGAAAUAUUUCACAACGAAAGAAGAGAUGGAACCGCUAGCCGACAACUGUACCAAAGUGUACGUAUGGCACACACGCACACAGAAACCUUCUAUACUCAACGUGAAGAAGUUGAAACACACACCUGUACCGGACGAUCAUAUCGAGGUAUGAUUUGGUUGUUGUUAUAAUGUUGAAACGCGCGGUAAAAUGAACUCUAUGUUCAUAUAUAUUUGGUCUCUAAACCGCUAGUUUUUCGCGGAUUUAGGAUUACAAUUUGGCGGAAUAAAAUAUUGGAGAAAUUUCCUAAUUGGAAUAGGUACAGGUUUUUUCUUUAUGUAGUACGAAAAAUGUAUGUAAUAAUAUUGUGUAGGGGCAUGGUACCCUAAAUAAUUUUUUGAUUUUUUAUGACACUCCUUGUUUUUUUUUAAUAUCGGCUUGAAUGUGAACAAAUUAUGUUCCAGUCACUUAAAUUUAGAAAUUCAAGAAUAAUGAGUUUUUUUUUUAAUUUAUUUAUUGGUAACGAAAAAUAAAUAUUUUUAUUAUUUUACUAAACAAAUUUGAAUGACUAUAUAUAAAGUAUGCAACAUGUUAUUUUGAACUUGAUCGCGUGAAACUUUUUAAUUGUGGAGAAAGGUUAAUAAAUUGUGAAUAAUACGUAUACUCAGAAAAGAUACGAAGUGUACUUUGAAAAGUAGUGGAGGCUUAUAAAAUUAAAUUUAAGUCUUUACUAAAAUUAUAUUGACAAGAAUACAAUAAUUUAUGGUGAUUGUCGCUUCAUUUACAAAAAAUAUUUUAGUAACCAUUAUUUUAUACAUCAAAAUUUCCUUUUUUUUUUCAUUCAAAAUAUAAUAAGUCGAUUACUUAUAUAAUCACUUUGAUGAAUUAUUAAAGUUUUUGUCAUUUCAAAUUCAUUUAUAAAUUAUUAUUCGUUCAGCUUUUGGCUCGCCACUCAGAUUACUUAUGCGUAAUAUAAGAAUAUAAUCACAUAAAUUGAAGAUCAAAUGCUAAGCUUUUGCCGUAAAAAAAGGCUAAUUAAUUAUUCGGUUUGAUAAUAAUCAUUGAAAAUUUAUACUAAAAUGGCAUUGUCCGCAUACAUUAAUCAUAGCUGAUAUUUUAGUAUUUUAAUUGAAAUACAAUGCAAUAUGUUAGUAAUUUAUUUAUUCCUGAUGAACAAAAUAAUUCUAAUAUAAAUAUUUAUUUAUUUCAUUCGACAAUCGAUUAAUAUAUUUUGUUGUUUAAAUAAGAGGCUAACACCUCAUUUUAAUUAAUAAAUUCGUGUUGACUCGUGUAUCACAUCACAACAUAAUAAAUUAUCUCAUUAAAAUAAACAUUUUCCAAUGAGCUCAGUAUUAAAUUUAAUUACAUUUAAUACUUUAGAUUUAAUUGUGACAAAAAUGUAUAUUCUUUGCACGAAUAGUAAACGCUAGAUGAUUUAUUUGUAAUAAUUUUUAAGGCAACGUUUAGAUCCAGGGCUGGCGCUUAUAUGGCGGAGCGCAGCGCAGAGAUUAUUUUUGCUUUGCUCCGCCAUAUAUGCGUCUGCCUUAAAUCGGGUAUUUCGACGCAAAGAAGCCAUUUAUUAAAUUAUCUAAUUUAUGGCCCCAUUAACGUGUGAGUUCUAGAAUGUCAAUCGCUAUAAGGCUUUGCGAACGAAUCUAGGUGGGCAACGGCUUGACAUUGGCAUCUGGCAUUGCUUUAGUCCAUGGACGGCGGAUGCUGCUUAACAUCAGGCCGACCGCUCGCUCUUUUGCCUACUAAGGCUAUAAAAAAAAAAACUACAACUUAAUUAAUAAAUAUUAUCCCACAAUAAAUGUUGCCUUAAAGAUUAAACAGUACACAGUAUGUUCAAUAUGUAUAAUUACUGUAGAUUAAUACUAGUCUUCUUUUUUUAUAUAUUUUGAUAAAGUAUAGUGAAUUUUGUAGAUACUAUAUUAAUUAUUAGGCGCAUUAUUUUAUUUAGAAUGUAGUAGAUAACAUUUUGCUAAGUGGUGACAGGGUGGCGGCUGUAUGUGGCGGUCAUUUCCGUGCUUUUAACUUCCUGUCCGUUACAAUAAAUUCGAAUUUUAAAAAUCCUAAUGCUAUACAUGGUGGUUAUAAAUACUGCAUUUUAUUAAUAAAAACACAAAUAAUACUGUCUUUUAAGUAUAUUUUGUGUUUUUAAAUAUUUGUUUAGUCUCGAAAUUUAGUAACUACUAUGUAUUUUUUUAGGGUUGACAUAAUCAAUGUAUUGAAUCAGUAUACAAUUGUGUACCUCCAUGUAACCUCUAUAUUAAUAUCUCCCUUAGUGCCAUCUCAAUCUACGAACAAUCCUGCUUUAUACUCAUUUAAAACCUCAAAUAUUAUUAAGAUGAAUAAUAUAUGUCGUAAAAUAGGGGAUUGUCUACUAUCGCAAUAAAUAUGGCGUUUAAUAUUACACGAAAUCAAAUUAAUAUGUGAAACGUCUAAUUAUUGCGUUAUAUAGUGACUAUGUCUAAUGUCUCGAAAGGCGAUAAUAAUUGUUGAUAUUAAUUGACGUAAGUGUCUAAGUGUAAAUGGAAAAAAAUGCAUAACGGCCGUUUUCAAAAAACGAUCCUAAUCUCAAUCUUCAAUCCGAUUCCGAGAAUGAACCAAUCAAAAUAAAUAGCUCAUUGGUAAGCAUGUCAUAAAGACUUUGUUCUGAUUGGUCCAUUUUUGAAAUAUAUAAAAAAAAAAACAAUUGGGAUCUUUUUGAAAAUGGCGGUUAGUCGAUAAUAACUCCUAUCAUUCCCUUCUCAAGACUGAAUUGAGUCUUUUGCAAGACAAUUGGUAUUAUUUGACAAUUCCCUACUAACACACAUAUUUUAAAACUUCUUACAUGUUUUAUAAAAAAUAUGACACGUGUUUAAAGAUUUCAGUUUUGUUUGUCUAUUUUGACGACACUUGGAAUAGACAAGCAAAAUGGUCUAUGCUGAGUUUUAUUAGUAUAAUUUAUAGUAAAUAAUUUUGUUUAUUUGUAAUAUUUAUUUGAUGCCACAGAGUAUAAUAUUGAUUCAGAUUAAUAGCUAAGUCAAUAUACUUCGCAAUUCUUUUUUUUAAUGUCCUUUAAGUAAUCUAUUUCCAUAAAAUUAAGGUAAUUUGGAUUACUACUAUAUUAUUGCAGAUUUCUGAAGUUAUCAUACCAAAAAUUUAUAUCCUUAAAAAUACGUCAUAAUAUUAAAGUGUUGUUUAAAAUUAGGUCUAGUAACAUAAGAGUUCUGUAACAUUGCCUUCGUUCUAUUGUGAUAAAUAAAAAGCAUAUGAGUAGUUGAAGAUAUUGUCACUACUAUGUUAGAAGCAAUAUGAGCGAUAUUCACAAGACACUUAUUAGUUGUCCAUUUUCACCAUUAACUAUACUUACCUAUAUACCCUUUUAUGAAUAAAAUAUACUUAGUAAUGUUAUAUAACGCAUAAUAAUUUAGAUUGUAACGUGCUCAAAUAAAUCGUAUCGGUCUAAACUUGAUUCCUUUAGUGUUUAAUAAAAAUGUUUGUACUUACAUGUUUGUAGGCGUUUUUACACAUAUUAGAAAUCUCACUUAACCUUAGUGGCUCGUGUGAGUUUAUUACUUUAUUUUUGUGAAUCUAGCACUGCCUUUAUAUUUCCGAAAUAGAUUGUGACGAAUUUGUAUAUAGUGCAAUGUAUGCUAAACUUCAAAUGGAUGUAUACAUGAAACGAAGACGUUCCAUAUUAGUUACUAGAGUAAGGCCCACUAACCUUACAUAUAUAUUUGCAGUCUUACUUAUAAACUUGUUUUGGCGUUAAGAUAGCUGCCAAAAACAUCAUCGGUUUCCUAGUUUAAAUCUUAUUAAUAGGCAAGAUGGCGGCUUUUGACUCACAGAUGAUCGAGUAAAUUUGUGUUUUAACUACGCAUAGCUUUGCAAAAUUUUUAUAAGUAGGAUUGUUGGUCUGUACAUAUUCAUUUGAAACUUGCAUUUCUAAAGAUUGUGUUUGAGUACUUGUACUUGCCUAGACAGCUACUAUUAUAACUCCGCCUAAUUAAUAAUGAGCCAUUAUUCAAAAAAUUCUGGACAUCCCUUUAUCUUGUUAGUUUUAUAAAAAUUAGAAAUUACGUCGCAUUUUGAGGUUUAUUUCAUUAAAAUUAAAUCGCCUGAUUAUAAAUAUUCGAUGUAUAAAAUCUUAUUGUAUUACCAUAAAUAUAUAAUUUUCUUCAACGUGGACAUUUGAAAAUGUUAUUAGUAAUGGCAACGAAUUAAAUAUUUUAUUGGCUUAAAUAUUUAGUAAAGGUUUUCCAGCUUGUAAGACUUUUCAAUGUAUAAGACGUAAUAGAAACAAGAUCAUAGAUAUGCGUUUUUAAAUAGAUAAAAGUAAGUGGCGAAGGGUGGAAUACUCGGAAAGGAAAUCCGACACAACAUAGGUAACGAUUUGCAAAUUGUUCUAAUGAUAUUUAGAUAUAGCAUUAAUUAUGAAAGGGAAGCCGGUAAAAAUCGUGUUAUAUGAUUUACACAGGAAAGUAAUUUUGUGUGAAUGUUUUGACUACUGUUAAUUUUAUUAAAGUAAAUGCAACUGAUUUUGUCAUUUUGAUACAUAUGUGUUGAAAAUAUUAUACAAAGUUUUGUAUCAACCAAAGUUAUCACAAUAUUAGAACGGGUGCCGCAUUUAAUUUGUAUGAGAGCAGUGUUUCAUAUAACAAGGCAUGUCUAGAUAUUUAUGUCCAUGGCUAACUAUUCUGUAGGUAAACUCUAGGCGUUCAAUUUUAGAGUUCAAAAUCUAAUAAAUAUUUUAACAAGUACGGCAACACCUCAUUAUUUUCAAUUUUAUUUCACUACGUCAAGAAACGUUGUUAACACAAAUUGGAUUAGUUGAAAAACGAAGAGGUUUUAUGCAUUCAAUUGACAGCUUCUCGGGUACUGCCAUGUAACCAGUGAUAUUAUAUUAUAUCUGUAUAUAUAAUAAAACAGUAGAACCUGGGAAUAUCUGUAUAUUGUAAGAAAGUUAAAAAUGGAAACAGGGGAAUACAGGAGAGUAUUAGAACACAAAUCAGUAAUUUUUUGAAUUAUUUUAUUUUUUGGCAUUGGUAUUUUAAUGUAGUUUUCACAGGUGGACAUUAAAAUCUGACGUCGAAAAAUACGUCAUGCGUGAGAAGCCGCGGCCACAGCAAGUGUUAUAGAAAAGCAAAAUUAUCCCAAUUGGGACGAUUGCAUACACUACGCGUAAAUAACGUGCAUUAUUUGUACUGGUUAAAACACAUCAAAUUACCCGACACAUAAUGUGUAGAAUUGCGCACUUAAAAUGUUCAAAAAUACACGACAUAGAAGUCGAUGUUUGUGAUCGAGCGAAAAACAAUGCAUCAAUCACAUGUAGGUCUCUCAAACGACACGGAGUCGUGUGUUUUUUUUCACAUUCCACACAUAACAUUUGUUUGAUUUGGUAUGCCAUAUCUAUAAUAAUAAUAAUAUCAGCCCUGUAUAAUAUACUUGCCCACUGCUGAGCACGGGCCUCUUCUACUACUGAGAGGGAUUAGGCCUUAGUCCACCACGCUGGUCUAGUGCGGAUUGGUAGAAUUCACACACCUUCGAAAUUCCUAUAGAGCCAUAUCUAUACUAUUGAUCAAUUGUUGCACGCAACGUAUUGUAUUCUUCAAUGUGUAUGUAACGUUUUAUAAAGUUUGCUGGCCAGACAAUUAUGAGCCCUAUAAUGUUAAAUUGAGCGCAUAGAGUUCAUCGUUACAAUUUGAACAUGAAAUGAGAACAAUAUUUUAUCACUUUGCAAAGCAAUAAUUAUGAUUAUUAUGUUAGAAUAUAGGAUAUUAACAUUUCAUUUUAUAUUUAUUUAUAGUUUUAAUUAAAUUGAACAUUGUAUUGUAGGUAAUGUAUAUUCGAACGAGUAAUCAGAUAGAUCAAUUAAUGUGAUGAUUUUUUAGAUCUUUAUUUCAUUGUAAAUAUUUUUAGAUUUACAAUACAGAAAAUAAAUACUUCCAAAG
rnacentral:misc_RNA from 1 species